rnacentral:rRNA from 1 species
UACGUAGGGGCCUAGCGUUGUCCGGAUUUAUUGGGCGUAAAGAGCUCGUAGGCGGUUCGGUAAGUCAGGUGUGAAAUCUCCACGCUCAACGUGGAGGGGCCACCUGAUACUGCCGUGACUCGAGUCCGGUAGGGGAGUGUGGAAUUCCCGGUGUAGCGGUGAAAUUCGUAGAUAUUAGGAAGAACACCAGUGGCGAAGGCGGCUCACUGGUCCGGUACUGACGCUGAGGUGCGAAAGCGUGGGGAGCAAACAGG